UACGCCCAACCCUUUGGCCGGAGGAGCUGGAAAUGAGGGAGACGAGGAGUAGAUGCAGCCGACCAAACCGGUGAUGAAUCCAGUCCCACCAUCUGGACAGACCAUCUGGUUCGAUAUCCCUUCUGCCAAGUCCAAGCAGGCUGCUUGGGGUAGCUUUUUUAAUUAGAUCUACGCCUUCAGUGCCGUGGAAGACUUCUGGAGGGAGGUGCACAACAUCAGAUACAGUUCCACCCGAUGUAGAAAAGUAUACUUGAUGUGUUAGAAAUGUAAACAAAGUAUUAGAUAGAAGAAAAUAACCUUUUGAAGCGCAUCUCGAAAAGCUUCUCUUUCUGUUUCCCUCAGCCGCUGCCGCUUCAAUUUUGCUUCUACCUCAUCAACUUCAGCCUUUUUCA